AGUGUAGUCAGUGUGUUGUCUUUACUAUGCUUGAUUUUGCCUGACCUGUAUUUUACAGUUACCAACGUGUGUGCUUUCUGAAAUCCUAAAUGAAGUGGUACUACAGGAAGGAGAUAAGGCAUACUUAAGAUUGGCUCUUGUGUGUACCACCUUCAGGGACACUGUGUCCACUGACUCCUUCAGGAGACGGGCACAUUUUCGGUGGCUUGACAGUAAGUGUUUAAAUAAAGGGUGCUGUGGUAUACAAUACUUGAGUACCUCACGUGUGUUUUCACUAACCUUAUGGAAAUGUUCACUUUUGAUUGAUAAUUUGUUUUUCACAGGUGUCGCUACAUUGAGCAGGUUUUCUGAGUCCUAAAGAAAAUAAUUCUACACCAUGUACACCGUGGACACCUGUCGUGAAUGUGGAAUGCUUUUCAAAAACUGCACACCUGGAUAUGUUGGAACAGGACAAAGGGGUGUACUUGAAGCAGUUUACUCAGAAUACCCACAUCCAGGUUACUGCGAUCACUUUUGCCGCCAAAUGCAAUAGUGAGAACGGACACGUAUACUAACUGUUGGCAGACAACCCUGAGCCAGCUGGGUGUUUUUCAAGCUGCAGGCCCCCGUGACAAUUUGUGGCUGGAAACUUGGGAUUGAAUUUUGAAUUCUCCAGUGUUAUUACAGACUGUUAAUUAAUUGUUUAUGACAAAAAAGAGAUGUCAUAUGUUUAAACAACCUUUGGGUGAA